GCAUAUCAAUAAGCGGAGGAAAAGAAACCAACAGGGAUUGCCCUAGUAACGGCGAAGUGAAGCGGCAACAGCUCAAAUUUGAAAUCUGGCUCUUUCAGAGUCCGAGUUGUAGUUAUGCAGAGGGCGCUUUGGCUUUGGCAGCGGUCCAAGUUCCUUGGAACAGGACGUCACAGAGGGUGAGAAUCCCGUACGUGGUCGCUAGCUAUUGCCGUGUAAAGCCCCUUCGACGAGUCGAGUUGUUUGGGAAUGCAGCUCUAAAUGGGAGGUAAAUUUCUUCUAAAGCUAAAUAUUGGCCAGAGACCGAUAGCGCACAAGUAGAGUGAUCGAAAGAUGAAAAGCACUUUGGAAAGAGAGUCAAACAGCACGUGAAAUUGUUGAAAGGGAAGCGCUUGCAGCCAGACUUGCUUGCAGUUGCUCAUCCGGGCUUUUGCCCGGUGCACUCUUCUGCAGGCAGGCCAGCAUCAGUUUGGGCGGUGGGAUAAAGGUCUCUGUCACGUACCUCUCUUCGGGGAGGACUUAUAGGGGAGGCGACAUACCACCAGCCUGGACUGAGGUCCGCGCAUCUGCUAGGAUGCUGGCGUAAUGGCUGUAAGCGGCCCGUCUUGAAACACGGACCAAGGAGUCUAACAUCUAUGCGAGUGUUUGGGUGUCAAGCCCGAGCGCGUAAUGAAAGUGAACGGAGGUGGGAACCCGCAAGGGCGCACCAUCGACCGAUCCUGAAGUUUACGGAAGGAUUUGAGUAAGAGCAUGGCUGUUGGGACCCGAAAGAUGGUGAACUAUGCUUGAAUAGGGUGAAGCCAGAGGAAACUCUGGUGGAGGCUCGCAGCGGUUCUGACGUGCAAAUCGAUCGUCAAAUUUGGGCAUAGGGGCGAAAGACUAAUCGAACUAUCUAGUAGCUGGUUCCUGCCGA
rnacentral:rRNA from 1 species